GCGGGCGUAACUCAGCGGUAGAGUGCCACCUUGCCAAGGUGGACGUCGACGGUUCAAUUCCGUUCGCCCGCUCCA
rnacentral:tRNA from 1 species